UGGCGACCGGCGCACGGGUGAGUAACACGUAUCCAACCUGCCGAUAACUCGGGGAUAGCCUUUCGAAAGAAAGAUUAAUACCCGAUGGCAUAAUAGAACCGCAUGGUUUGAUUAUUAAAGAAUUUCGGUUAUCGAUGGGGAUGCGUUCCAUUAGGCAGUUGGUGAGGUAACGGCUCACCAAACCUUCGAUGGAUAGGGGUUCUGAGAGGAAGGUCCCCCACAUUGGAACUGAGACACGGCCCAG
rnacentral:rRNA from 1 species